rnacentral:tRNA from 1 species
GGAGAUGUGGCUAUUUAGAAGAGUUCUUGCAUUCCAUGCAUAAGGCCCUAGGUUUGAUCCCUAGCAUCACCA